GACGAACGCUGGCGGCGUGCCUAAUACAUGCAAGUCGAACGAGAGCGACCGGUGCUUGCACUGGUCAAUCUAGUGGCGAACGGGUGAGUAACACGUGGGUAACCUGCCCAUCAGAGGGGGAUAACAUUCGGAAACGGAUGCUAAAACCGCAUAGGUCUUCGAACCGCAUGGUUUGAAGAGGAAAAGAGGCGCAAGCUUCUGCUGAUGGAUGGACCCGCGGUGCAUUAGCUAGUUGGUGAGGUAACGGCUCACCAAGGCCGUGAUGCAUAGCCGACCUGAGAGGGUGAUCGGCCACAUUGGGACUGAGACACGGCCCAAACUCCUACGGGAGGCAGCAGUAGGGAAUCUUCCGCAAUGGACGCAAGUCUGACGGGGCAACGCCGCGUGAGUGAAGAAGGUUUUCGGAUCGUAAAACUCUGUUGUUAGAGAAGAACAAGUGCUAGAGUAACUGUUAGCGCCUUGACGGUAUCUAACCAGAAAGCC
rnacentral:rRNA from 1 species